rnacentral:rRNA from 1 species
CAUGCAAGUCGAGCGAAUCGAUGGGAGCUUGCUCCCUGAGAUUAGCGGCGGACGGGUGAGUAACACGUGGGCAACCUGCCUAUAAGACUGGGAUAACUUCGGGAAACCGGAGCUAAUACCGGAUACGUUCUUUUCUCGCAUGAGAGAAGAUGGAAAGACGGUUUACGCUGUCACUUAUAGAUGGGCCCGCGGCGCAUUAGCUAGUUGGUGAGGUAAUGGCUCACCAAGGCGACGAUGCGUAGCCGACCUGAGAGGGUGAUCGGCCACACUGGGACUGAGACACGGCCCAGACUCCUACGGGAGGCAGCAGUAGGGAAUCUUCCGCAAUGGACGAAAGUCUGACGGAGCAACGCCGCGUGAACGAAGAAGGCCUUCGGGUCGUAAAGUUCUGUUGUUAGGGAAGAACAAGUACCAGAGUAACUGCUGGUACCUUGACGGUA